CGACCUUGAGGGGGAGUAGGUGCUGAGGAGAGUCCAGUAGGCACUUGGGGAAGAGAGCCACGAUGACCACCAGGGACUGGAGGACGUGGAGACUCUAAACAAAUAAUAAACAAGUCACAACAUGAACUGUGAUGGAAUGAUUUGGUUCUGGACAGUAAGAGGCACCAUUGGAGUCAUGGUUCAUUGUGAGGAUUAACCCUGACAACAGCAAGUGCUCCUCAAAGUUCCAGGUCAGUAAAAGAAGUGGGAAGAUGGUGCAAAGGAAGAACUCUGGCCUGAACCCUCAUGUAUCCUCCUUCAUUAAGGAGUUUCUGGAUUUCAGCUGGCAAAACUAUUAAGCUACUAAGAGCAAAUACACUCUACAAAGGAGUUUUCUGAAUUUGUAAAUUUUUAAGAUUGUUCUUA